GAAGUAUGUGCCACAUGUUUCUUCUUUUCAUGCAUUUUACUGGUCAUAGCUUUUUACUGAUGAAAUAAACACAUCAAAAGGGGAUUUGACAUGUUACUGCCUAAAGGAGAUGGAGCGCCAAACUUCUGCAUUGAAGGUACACUAUAUCUUUGGUGCUAUUUUCAUGCUAUCUAAACAUACAUUGUGUAUGCAUUAUUACGUUUUUCUUUACUCUUCAUUAUUAUAGAGACAGGUUUAUUUGCUCAUUUUUUGCUGUUGCCUAUAGUUCCCUGAUCCUAAAAAGACUUUUGCGUUUCAUUAAAUUGAAAAGAUAGAGUUAACUGUGGGCGAUGAUCUUUUGUCAAUUUCAUCUCUUGCGCUCAACCUAUUCCUGCUAUUAACAUUUGUACCUAUAUGUUAACUGAAGUAUUUCCCCCUGUAGAUGUUAAUUUUCUUCUCACUUAUGUAGGUGGUCAUUCGUCAACCUAUAUGUAAGCUCAUUUGUUCAGCAUGAAUUAGUUGGAACUGUAUGCAGACCGUAGGACAAUUAUGGUAAGUUUCUCGUGAGGUCCCAUGAAUGAGGGUCUGACUUGAAGCCACAACACCACCACUGGGUCGCAUACCAGCUCCGUCUCUUCACUCUUCCCUUCGCCGAUGCAUUAGAUAGCAGAGCAAGGUUAAAGCCCGGCACCGCAUAACACUCUAAAGGCAUUGUUGGUCAUAGGGUGUGGAAGAACUCGAGUGAACAACAAAGUUAGCAAGGACCCUCUCUACCUCUUGGGGGAAGUCAAGCU